ensembl:lncRNA
ACUGCAACAUUAUGAAAGGGUAGAUUUAAACCCAAACGUUGAGUUCUUCCUUACUAAGCAGUUUAUAUGUCUAAACCUAGGGAUGUAGUUUGUAUUUGUUUGUGUCCAAAUAUUCGUAAUUCCUGCACAGGAAUGUGGUGAGACAUAAUUUUAAUGGAGAAAUCCCAUUAAUUCAAUCAGUUUGCUGAUUGAAUUUGGGAAAAGAAAUAUAACUGGACACAAAAAUAUACUGGUUCCUAGUUCUAACCACACAUUUUAAGUUUCUGCAAGUACAGAAUGCUUAUUGACUUAUACAGUAACUCAUGUGCUCAUGUAUCCGAGUCCUAUUUAGGGAGAGAGAAAACUUUCCCUCCUCCUGAUGUCAGACUCAGCACAUCAUACACUCGAGUACAGCGAAGGUUAAACAUCUGAUUGAAUUACAAAUAAACGUGUGUAACACCUAUAAGUGUAAGGAGGGCAUUUAAUCCCAGCUGUUCUGCUGCCUGCAAUGUUCGGAUGAGGAGGCUGGAUAAAACGAAAAAGAAAAAGAAACAAAACGCAGAGGUAGUCUUAAAUCACAUGCUCAAAAUAUAAAAAGCCCCCCCCCCCCCCCCCCCCCCCCCCCCAAAAAAAAACCCCAACAACAAACAAACCCAACUCUCUGGUGCUGCAGAGUCUGACACCCUCCUCUGUGAGCAUCUACCAUCUUCCUUGUUCCCUAUACACCCCCCCCCCCCCACAACCACCCACUCAACCACUUACAGCUCUACCCCACCUAGACUCACCCCCCCCCCCCCCUCCUCCCCCACCACCUCCACCAACGUGCCCUCCCCGACAACCCUCCCCCAUCCUGUUAGUAAGCUCGGACAUGCUUCCCAGCCCACUGCCCACACAUUUCUCAGCUCCUCUUCAUUUUGGACACUCAUACAUUUAUGGAGUGAUUCGGUGCAGUUCUUCCUCAGAGGCAUCCAGGAUUACUGGACAUACUGAACUGUGGCGAUCAGAGGGGAGGGGGGCAUGGAGGAGCAUUGGGAGGGGGUUAGGGGAGUUAGUGGAGGGGGGUCUUUAAAUUUUUUAAAUGUAAAAAUGACAAGCAGGAUAGGGGGAAAAAAGCAAGCAGUGGAGAGAGGAAUCAAGCUUUUUUUUUUUUUCAAUAUAGGCACGUGUGUCUGUGUGUGUGUGUAAAGUGCACCGUAUAGCCCAUUAUGUGUAUGGUUAUGUUUGUGUGGGUGUGUUUGAUGGAGGGUGGUAAGCCUUGUGUGACAUGUUACCAGUAAUUUAAGGCUCUCUUUUGGUGCAACACCUACUUUUUUCUCUCUUCUUUUAUCUCUUGAAACACUGUCUAUAUCACCAAUGAGACUGUCUGUGGCCAUGUGUGUGUGUGUGUGUGUGUCUGUGAUUGACUGAGAGAUGGUGUAUGUUGUACUCUAAUUAGCACCUAAACACACAGGAGAGUGCUGCAGCCAGACAGCAGAUAAAUCAGACGAGGCUAUAAGAUCAUAACACUCUAGCAGACGAUAUCGGCUGCAGUGCAGCUUUAACACACUUGAUGACCUGACAAUACAGCGGCUAGCCGUGAGCAGCUGCACAAUCCCAG